CAGACCUCUGAUCGGAAGACUACCCGCUGAGUUUAAGCAUAUC
rnacentral:rRNA from 1 species